rnacentral:lncRNA from 1 species
GCAGACUCAGUAGAGGGCGCGAGAGUAUAUAAUCCUGGUGCAGGCCGUUCUCAGUCCUUUCUCGCUUCAUCCGCGGUCCCUGUCUGUUUUCGUUAUGGCGCCUUGUACUUCUACCCAACGUUGCCCGCCCCCCAUCUUCCCAGCCCACCAGCUCCGUCCGCCUCUCCGGAUGAUUCGUGAGAUACCGAGCCUGCCGGGAAGGGACCGGAUUUUUCCGUCUGGUCCAAGGAAGCACGGGUUAUGGCCACAUGCGCAGUGAUAACUCAGGGCCCCACGCCUUUUGACCCCUGUUGAUGAAGAUUGUGAGGAGGGAGACCAGAAGAUAAUGGACAACGAUACAGCAGAAGGGUCUGGUUACACUUGAGCUUAUUUCUUGGAAGAGUCUGAGAAGACGGCCUGUCAGGCUCCUAACACUAAGGGCCAUGUAACCAGUGAAGCAGCCAUUAUAUAUGAUUUGGUCUACACUUGUUGGAAAAAUUCCACAAGAGGAUCUCCUGGAAGCUAGCAGAAGUUUUUGGCUUGUACAUUGCCAGGCAGCCAUUGGAAUCGGAGCUGCAGUCAGAUUAAGGCCAGCCUGGCCUACAUUGAGAAACCUCAUUUUGGGAAAGUGAAAUACUUUGUCAAUUAACAUGCAGUUGGUUCAAUAAAGACUUUUGGAAAGUGUCCUCUUUUU